GAUCAUGAAUGCUAUGCUUUAUGUGAUUUGGGUGCUAGUGUUUCCACGAUCCCAAAGACUUUGUGUGAUUUGUUAGGUUUCCGUGAUUUUGAUGAUUGCUCUCUAAACUUGCACCUUGCAGAUUCCACUAUUAAGAAACCUAUGGGAAUAAUUAAUGAUGUUCUUAUUGUUGCAAAUAGGAAUUAUGUGCCCAUAGAUUUUAUUGUUCUUCACAUAGAUUGCAAUCCUUCAUGUCCUAUUAUUCUUGGUAGACCUUUCCUUCGAACGAUUGGUGCAAUUAUUGAUAUGAAGGAAGGAAAUAUUAGAUUCCAAUUUCCAUUAAGGAAAUGCAUGGAACACUUUCCUAGAAAGAAAAUUAAAUUACCUUAUGAAUCUAUUAUGAGAGCCACAUAUGGAUUGCCUACCAAAGAUGGCAAUACCUAG
rnacentral:rRNA from 1 species